rnacentral:rRNA from 1 species
UGCCAGCAGCCGCGGUAAUACGGAGGGGGCUAGCGUUGUUCGGAAUUACUGGGCGUAAAGCGCACGUAGGCGGACCAGUCAGUCAGGGGUGAAAUCCCGGGGCUCAACCCCGGAACUGCCUUUGAUACUGCUGGUCUGGAGGACAGGAGAGGCGAGCGGAAUUCCGAGUGUAGAGGUGAAAUUCGUAGAUAUUCGGAGGAACACCAGUGGCGAAGGCGGCUCACUGGCUCGAUACUGACGCUGAGGUGCGAAGGUGUGGGGAGCAAACAGGAUUAGAUA